rnacentral:rRNA from 1 species
AUUGAACGCUGGCGGCAUGCUUUACACAUGCAAGUCGAACGGCAGCGCGGGCUUCGGCCUGUCGGCGAGUGGCGAACGAGUGAGUAAUGCAUCGGAACGUGCCCAGUAGUGGGGGAUAGCCCGGCGAAAGCCGGAUUAAUACCGCAUACGACCUGAGGGUGAAAGCGGGGGACCGAAAGGCCUCGCGCUAUUGGAGCGGCCGAUGUCGGAUUAGCUAGUUGGUGGGGUAAAGGCUUACCAAGGCGACGAUCCGUAGCUGGUCUGAGAGGACGACCAGCCACACUGGGACUGAGACACGGCCCAGACUCCUACGGGAGGCAGCAGUGGGGAAUUUUGGACAAUGGGGGCAACCCUGAUCCAGCCAUGCCGCGUGCGGGAAGAAGGCCUUCGGGUUGUAAACCGCUUUUGUUCGGGAAGAAAUCCUCUGGGCUAAUACCCCGGGGGGAUGACGGUACCGGAAGAAUAAGCACCGGCUAACUACGUG